rnacentral:rRNA from 1 species
GUGCCAGCAGCCGCGGUAAAACGUAGGAGGCGAGCGUUAUCCGGAUUUACUGGGUGUAAAGCGCGUGCAGGCGGUUGGAUAAGUUCGAUGUGAAAGCGCCUGGCUCAACCGGGCGAGGACGUCGAAGACUGUUCGACUGGAGGCAGGGAGAGGUCUGUGGAAUUCCGGGUGUAGUGGUGAAAUGCGUAGAGAUCCGGAGGAACACCAGUGGCGAAGGCGGCAGACUGGCCCUGACCUGACGCUCAGACGCGAAAGCACGGGGAGCGAACGGGAUUAGAAACCCGGGUAGUCC